rnacentral:rRNA from 1 species
GACGAACGCUGGCGGCGUGCUUAACACAUGCAAGUCGAACGCUGAAGCUUGGUGCUUGCACUGGGUGGAUGAGUGGCGAACGGGUGAGUAAUACGUGAGUAACCUGCCCUUGACUCUGGGAUAAGCCUGGGAAACUGGGUCUAAUACUGGAUAUGACAUGCCACUGCAUGGUGGUGUGUGGAAAGGGUUUUACUGGUUUUGGAUGGGCUCACGGCCUAUCAGCUUGUUGGUGGGGUAAUGGCCUACCAAGGCGACGACGGGUAGCCGGCCUGAGAGGGUGACCGGCCACACUGGGACUGAGACACGGCCCAGACUCCUACGGGAGGCAGCAGUGGGGAAUAUUGCACAAUGGGCGGAAGCCUGAUGCAGCGACGCCGCGUGAGGGAUGACGGCCUUCGGGUUGUAAACCUCUUUCAGCAAGGAAGAAGCGAGAGUGACGGUACGUGCAGAAGAAGCGCCGGCUAACUACGUG